rnacentral:rRNA from 1 species
AGCGUAGGCGGUUUGGCAAGUCAGAAGUGAAAGCCCGGGGCUCAACCUCGGGACUGCUUUUGAAACUGUCGAACUAGAUUGCAGGAGAGGUAAGUGGAAUUCCUAGUGUAGCGGUGAAAUGCGUAGAUAUUAGGAGGAACACCAGUGGCGAAGGCGGCUUACUGGACUGUAAAUGACGCUGAGGCUCGAAAGCGUGGGGAGCAAACA